rnacentral:rRNA from 1 species
AAUAUUGCGCAAUGGAGGGAACUUUGACGCAGCGACGCCGUGUGAGCGAUGAAGGUUUUCGGAUCGUAAAGCUAUGUUCUUGGGGAAGAAGGUAUUCGGAAUUGACGGUACCUAACGCGGAAGCCCCGGCUAACAUCGUGCCAGCAGCCGCGGUAAUAUGUAGGGGGCAAGCGUUGUCCGGACUUAUUGGGCGUAAAGGGUGCGUAGGCGGCCUUUUAAGUCAGAUGUGAAAGCCCACGGCUUAACCGUGGGACUGCAUUUAAAACUGGAGAGCUUGAGUAUCGGAGAGGGUAGUGGAAUUCCCAGUGUAGCGGUGGAAUGCGUAGAUAUUAGGAGGAACACCAGUGGCGAAGGCGACUACCUGGACGAAAACUGACGCUGAGGCACGAAAGCUAGGGGAGCAAAC